rnacentral:misc_RNA from 1 species
GCCUCCAAACCUUCCUCUAACGGACGCUUAAAAAUCAACCCAUGAAUUCCCCUCCCCAUACUCAGAUUUCUGUUUUUCCCACACGCAACUAACACACUAACAAAUGUUGCGAUAUUGGGCUCCACGUCCAUCCUCAAAAACAUAGUUACAGCCUCAUCAAACAACCCUGCCCUUACAUACCCAGAAAUGAUACUGGUCCAAGAGACCACAUCUCUCACGAGCAUCUCAUCAAACACUCUGCCA